GUGUCAGCAGCCGCGGUAAUACAGAGGUCUCAAGCGUUGUUCGGAAUCACUGGGCGUAAAGCGUGCGUAGGCUGUUUCGUAAGUCGUGUGUGAAAGGCGCGGGCUCAACCCGCGGACGGCACAUGAUACUGCGAGACUAGAGUAAUGGAGGGGGAACCGGAAUUCUCGGUGUAGCAGUGAAAUGCGUAGAUAUCGAGAGGAACACUCGUGGCGAAGGCGGGUUCCUGGACAUUAACUGACGCUGAGGCACGAAGGCCAGGGGAGCGAAAGGGAUUAGAUACCCCUGUAGUCCUGGCAGUAAACGGUGCACGCUUGGUGUGCGGGGAAUCGACCCCCUGCGUGCCGGAGCUAACGCGUUAAGCGUGCCGCCUGGGGAGUACGGUCGCAAGAUUAAA
rnacentral:rRNA from 1 species